rnacentral:misc_RNA from 1 species
CGGUCGUUCAAACUUUACUAAAAAGCGCCAGGUUAUUAUACGCAGGCGCAUUGGCAUAUUUGAUAUUUGAAGAAUUUUCAAAAUGGCUUCGAAACAGAAUUAACCUUUCUUAGCAACAAUUUUAUUUGCAUUAUUUGUUUUUAUUUUUUGAAUUUAUAAAUGAUUUUUGUGCUAAAUAAUACUAGAGACACCCUAUUUUUUAUAAAAAUAACUAAAGUUAAUAUGUAUAUGAAUAAUUUUAACUAAUAAAAUUGAGUUACUUUUGAAGUUAUUUUGCUGUGGUUUGUUUAUAGUUUUCAAAAUUAUUUUUCUAAAUAUUUGAGCGUUAAACUUUUUCAGUAUUUUCAAAAAAAGUUUUAUAAAUCUUAUAUGUUUUCAUUUCUUUUAAUUAAUCUCAGGACACAAUUUUUUUUCUUGUUCAAAAUUCACAUUUUCUCAAGUAAAGUUAUCAAAUACAAAUUUUUACAAGGUCACAAUCUUAUAAUUUAUGAUUAUUUAAAAAAAAAGAAAAUUCUUUAUUUAUUUGAAUUUACUUUUUUUUAAAGAUUUUUUGGAAAAUGUGUAUUUAGGACAUCCACCUCAAAGUCAGUAAAAAAUGAGUUUUAUGCAAAACCAUACCUUAAUGCUAAACCAUAAACAUAACCCAAAAGAUUACGACUAAGAUUUUUUUUUAAUUUAUUUAAGGUAUUAUUUUCAAUAAUACUUAUUUUUGUUCGACUUAAUUUACAGUGGUUCUUAUAUAGUAUUUAUUGUAUUAGCACUAAAAGCAUUUAUUAUAUUUGCUCUUGAAAAUUUUAUUACAAUUUUAUUUAUUUUUUAAAUUAAAUUCAUAAAGCUGAGUUAUGAUUUGAAUAUAGUAUUUUAGUAGUUAAUAGUUAUAAAUAAUAGUUUUGAUUUCAAUUUCAUUCUUUACUUAAAAGUUAUUAAUUACUUUCUUUCUUUAGAUGGAUUUGCAUAUCACAAAUUUAAAUCUUCUUUGCAGAGUUUGUGGUUGUUUUAUUGGGAAAAAAAACUACUCAAUUGGAGCCAUCCAAAAAGAUAAAAUUGAAAAGAUGUUUCACGUCAAAUUAACAGAUUUAGAAGGAGUUCAUCCUUCAAAAAUUUGUCCUAAAUGUUACAAAACAAUUAACAUAGUAAUAAAAAGAAUGUCAUCAACUACUCUGCUUUUAUGUACAAAGUGGACACCUCAUUGUGAUAACUGCUAUACUUGUCAUCAUGUGAAAAAACUGAGUCAGGGUGCUAUUUUUUCAAAUUUCCAAAUAAGGAGUAAAACAAAGUUUAUUGGCCAUCCUAAAAUUGGCGAAAAGGUUUGGAGUUUUUCUAUCUUGAGUACUUUAAAGGAAAGUAUUUUGACAUUACACAAUUUGUAAAUAGACAAUAAUGAUUUGGUAAAUGAAUUUAAUCCUUACUUACAGCUAUGCAUAUGUUGUUUAUGUGGUAAAAUACCAAAACAACCGGUAUGUUUGAAAAAAUGUGGACAUUUGUUUUGUUUUUUCUGUUUAGAGGAGAUUAUUAAAAUUAGGUUCUUUAAUGAAACUUCAUGCCCAAAAUGUAACGAACCUUUAAUACCCGAAGACUUAGUUGCCAAACUCCCUUAUAAAAAUGUUAAGUGUUGAAUGUAUUCUAUGUAAAGCAAAGUUCAAUGUAAUAAAAGAAUAUGAUGUAUAUAUACAUCAUAAGCUUAUAUGCAAUGGAAAAUCUGUAACAAAAUCAUUAUUUUUUUCCUCACCAUUAUCUUUACCAAGUUUGUCACCAUCAUUGUAUACUUUUAACAAUAGCAUUUCUGAGAUUUUCAAUCUAACAGCUAAUAGUAAGAGUUGUUGAAGAUGCUGCACUCCAUGUUCUUAAACAAAAGAUGGAAAAAAGUGGAGGAAAACCAAUUUCAUUUAAAAGUGAAGGACCUAGAGUAAAAUUUGUUUAGUUUUGUUAAAUCGAUUUAAAAAAAUUAAUAACUGUAUUCUUCAUAGAUUCCUUUUUUUUUUCAGCCAGUUUUAUUUUCAUCUAUUUCAUGUGCAUUACAAUCUUAGAGAGGGAUCUUAGCUGUUGCAGCAAUAAAUUCUGUGAACACAUAUUUUGAGUUUUAAAAGAUAAUUUCAACAUAACGUACAAUGUUACCAACACUAUAAACAUACAUAAAUAAGCGAAUCGAAGAGAAUUUCUAAAUUAAAAACUUAGUACCAGACAUUAAAUAAUUUAUCAGUGCUUUAGAACAUUAUGAGCUUGCAUGCUUCUUUUAUAUUUUUUAUUUUAAUUCACCUCCUCAAGGCCGAGAAGGCCACUACAGACGAGGAGGCUACUUAUUUGUGGUUAUAACCCUCUCUCAACUCUAUAAAUCCAAAACACGAACCUUGACGAACAAGGCCGCUGCGCGGAGAAACGAGUUGAGCGCGGUACUACCAGGGACGUGGUGGGGAUCGAACUCAGAACCACUCGUUUAUGAAGCGAGCGCUCUACCACUACACCACUACCGCAUUAUAAGAGAUUAUUACAUUUAUAUGAGAUUUUAUCACAGUUCUGCUUUCUGCGUAACUCGAUCAGCUUUCAUCGCACAAGAUAAUGACAGCAGCAUCGAAUGUUAUGCUCUUUAAUGACAACCUUAAGCUUUAUCACCUCAAGAAAGCAGGUAGAAAAAGUGUUAAAGAAAAUACAAAAAAUGUUAUGGUCAGGUAUGUAUUUUUGUUUAACUCUGGAUAAUCAAACUGUUUAAAUUGUGAGUAAAUUUUAUAGAAAAAAAAAGGAAAGUAAUUUAGAAAAAUAAUUUUAAUACUAAUGUUUGAGGAGAACCUUAAUGAAUAAAACGCUUAUUAAAUGGGACAAAAUCAAAAUUGCAUACAAGCAUCUAAGGUUAGUUGGAUAUCCAAACUUCUGAGGUAAGAAAUGUUAAACACAACAAUUCAACAGACCAAAUCACUAUUCCGAUCAUGGUCUAAACAUGAUGGGCCAAACAUAAAAUUAGAAAUGUUGUAUUAAUGGAAUUAAUAGCACAUUUCUCCAACAAAUCCAACAAAUAGUCAGUUAUAAAUAAAAUAUACUUUGUCAUCCCGUUUACAGUGUCCCAUGUUGUAUUUUAGAAGUCAUCCAGCUAAUGCACGAGUCUUCGUCAGAAGCACAAAUAAAAGAUCAAAUAGGAAGCAUUUUAAAGUUCUCUCCAUUUGUUAAUGGUAGCAAAAAAAAUUGAAGAAGCAAAUGAUUGUUAAACAAUUUUUUUGUUGUUGAGUUUUUUGUAAAUUUAUAAUACAAAAGAAUACAUCUUUUAAAAAGCCUUCAAAAA